rnacentral:tRNA from 1 species
AAUAAAGUGCCUGAUAAAAGGAUUAUUUUGAUAGAAUAAAUUAUAUAAUUUAUGAUUAUCUUUAUUA